CUUCUUUCAGAAUUUUUUUUUGGGGUAUUAGCACCAUCUUUUUUUUUAUUUAAGAAGAUGCAUCAGGACCAUCUCGUCGUAAAAGAAGUUGCAGGAAAGAAAAAGGCCGAAAGCACUAGGCCCACAGAUGAUGCAAAGGAGGAGGCCCAUACGUACGUAGAAAAUUCAGAUAGCUGAUGACACGCUGUUGAUCGAUAUCUGACGACUUACGCCCAUCAUUUCUUCCUUGGUUAGGCCAUGAUGAUGGAGGUCCGGGUAGGUUAGGUUUUCAAAGUAAGCCGGCGUGGACCCUCCUCCUCCUCCGGUCUAAAUUAUAUUUGUUCGGCAGCCGCUUCAUUCAGUAGUCCAAGCACACAAAAUGUUGAGCGGUCACACACAGGAAUCAGACAGCUGGUCUUCCCCUUUUGAUCGGCCAACUUCCUUCUCCGACCAUGGCCAUUGGCAUGAACGCAUGCAUUUGGUCGGAGCAGCCGGAUCGGUGACACGCACUGGUCCUGCAUGCACAGAGCUUGAGCCUCUUGUGUGUGUUUGGGUAGCACUGUAGCGUAGCCUAGCCCCCACGCAGUGCGAUGAUGAUGAGCAGGACCUCUCGUGGGCAUGCAUUCUGUCGGCAGGCAUACCAUACGGUACCUAAUGUUCUUGCAAUUCCACAUCCGGCGAUACCUGUACGUGUUUCGCCGGUGCCUGAAGCGAUCGGCGUUCGUUGCUGUUGCUUUAAUCCAGUAGCGACCACACACAUUGUGCGAAGAUGCAGCAGGGAGAGGGGCAGGAACUUGGUUUGCGCCGGAAGCAACACAUCCUAUUUGCUCUCCGGC
rnacentral:lncRNA from 1 species